rnacentral:piRNA from 1 species
UUGGUUUUGAAAGAUACUUGCUGUGGAGGGA